rnacentral:rRNA from 1 species
AGUGAACGCUGGCGGUAGGCCUAAUACAUGCAAGUCGAACGGCAGCACAGUAAGAGCUCGCUCUUACGGGUGGCGAGUGGCGGACGAGUGAGGAAUACAUCGGAUUCUACUUUGUCGUGGGUGACAACGGAGGGAAACUUACGCUAAUACCGCAUACGACCAACGGGUGAAAGCAGGGGAGCUUAGGACCUUGAGCGACUGAAUGAGCCGAUGUCGGAUUAGCUAGUUGGCGGGGUAAAGGCCCACCAAGGCCACGAUCCGUAGCUGGUCUGAGAGGAUGAUCAGCCACACUGGAACUGAGACACGGUCCAGACUCCUACGGGAGGCAGCAGUGGGGAAUAUUGGACAAAGGGCGCAAGCCUGAUCCAGCCAUGCCGCGUGGGUGAAGAAGGCCUUCGGGUUGUAAAGCCCUUUUGUUGGGAAAGAAAAGCUGCAGGUUAAUCCCCCGCUGUUCUGACGGUACCCAAAGAAUAAGCCCCGGCUAACUUCGUG